UACAGAGGGUGCAAGCGUUGUUCGGAAUUAUUGGGCGUAAAGGGCGCGUAGGCGGUGCGGUAAGUCUGCAGUGAAAUCUCUGGGCUCAACUCAGAGUCUGCUGUAGAAACUGCCGUGCUUGAGUGUGGGAGAGGUGAGUGGAAUUCCUGGUGUAGCGGUGAAAUGCGUAGAUAUCAGGAGGAACACCGGCGGUGUAGACGGCUCACUGGACCGUAACUGACGCUGAGACACGAAAGCGUGGGUAGCAAACAGG
rnacentral:rRNA from 1 species